UGCAGAGCGAGUUGUUGUAAAGAUUGCAUGUUCCCGGUGAAGAUUGAUGUUUUGGCCACUGUGUAUGGCGGCAAAGGAGGCGGCCGGCUGUGGAGCUCUGGCGAUACUCGGGCGACUCGCUAGUGACAGAAUGCUCUCCUCGAUUAACUGACACGAUGAUAUAAUUGGUUUCCCAAUCGGUUAUUAGCUUCUUCUUUCAACUACCAUAGGCGCCUCUGGAGCAGCUAGAUCUUUUCUUAUAAAAAGGACCUUUCUUGCCUAUAUGUAGUUAAAGUUUUGCAAUUACUGUAAUCUUUUGGAAUUGUAGAUAAACUUAAAAAUCUGAAUAAAGGAUAUUAGGAAUGUUGCUUGUCCUUGCUCAUAA